AGCGAACGCUGGCGGCAGGCUUAACACAUACAAGUCGAGCGGGCACUUCGGUGUCAGCGGCCGACGGGUGAGUAACACGUGGGAACGUACCCUUUGGUUCGGCAUAACGCUGGGAAACUAGCGCUAAUACCGGAUACGCCCUUUUGGGGAAAGGCUUGCUGCCGAAGGAUCGGCCCGCGUCUGAUUAGCUGGUUGGUGGGGUAAUGGCCUACCAAGGCGCCGAUCAGUAGCUGGUCUGAGAGGAUGGUCCGGCACCCUGAGACUGGGACACGGCCCAGACACCUACAGGAGGCAGAAGUGGGGAAUAAUGAACAAUGGGCGCAAGACUGAUGCAGCCAUGCCGCGUGAGAGAUGAAGGACGUAGGGAUGUAGAGCUCUUUUGACCGGGAAGAUAAUGACGGAAACGGAAGAAUAGGCCCGGGCUAACUACGU
rnacentral:rRNA from 1 species